AUAAGUUUAAAAUCUAGCUAAAAGGAGUUGAGAACUAUGCAUUAUGCUUUCUGUGCACUAGGUGAGAAAUCUUCAACCAGAAUGUUGAUACAAAAGUACAAAGUUUACUGUUUAAAAUCAUACUCUAUCCUUUGUGAAUAGUUCUGUAUACAUGACUUCACAUCUCUGCUGCAAAGGAUUUACCACAACCACACGUUUGUGUAGCAUUUGGGUUCUUAAAAGAGAAACCUCCACCAAUUAGAGCAUUACUAUAAUCCAAUUGCAUACCAAAUAGGAAAAGCAGACUCUUUGGAUCACAAACAAUCACAAAACCAUUGUACUCGAUGAUAGAGUCAUCAGGUCUCGCAUUUGCUCUAUUCUCAAACUCCAUAGUGUAAGACAUACCCGAGCAUCCACCCUGUUUAACCCCGAUUCUCAAGCACAAAUCUUCAUCCCGCUCUUUCCUCAUCUUAUUCAAGUGCUUCAAUGCAUUAUCCGUAAGUGAAAUCGCCGGCGCAAUCCCCUCAGUCGCCGGAACAGCUGCAGACGAUGUUGAUCGAACAAAGAGAGGUGAUCUACAGCUGAAAUUUGAUCUUGAAAAUGGAAAAGAGAGAGAAUUUUGAGGCGAAACUAGUGUGUUGGAGUUGCUGGGCAACCGAAGGCGAAGAAAAGAAGCAGAGUGCGGUGUAGUAACGGUUGCAGAGAACGCCAUAGCCGGGAAGGAGGAGAGGACGGGAAUGAUAUUUUCUGUUUUCCGGUCUAUGUUGCUUCCGGUUCG
rnacentral:misc_RNA from 1 species